UAGGGAAUCUUCCGCAAUGGACGCAAGUCUGACGGAGCAACGCCGCGUGAGUGAAGAAGGAUUUCGGUUCGUAAAACUCUGUUGUUAGAGAAGAACAGCGCAUAGAGUAACUGUUAUGCGUGUGACGGUAUCUAACCAGAAAGCCACGGCUAACUACGUGCCAGCAGCCGCGGUAAUACGUAGGGGGCUAGCGUUGUCCGGAAUCACUGGGCGUAAAGGGUUCGCAGGCGGAAAUGCAAGUCAGGUGUAAAAGGCAGUAGCUUAACUACUGUAAGCAUUUGAAACUGCAUAUCUUGAGAAGAGUAGAGGUAAGUGGAAUUUUUAGUGUAGCGGUGAAAUGCGUAGAUAUUAAAAAGAAUACCGGUGGCGAAGGCGACUUACUGGGCUCAUUCUGACGCUGAGGAACGAAAGCGUGGGUAGCAAACAGG
rnacentral:rRNA from 1 species